UCUUCGGAGACAUCCGAUAAAAUUGGAACGAUACAGAGAAGAUUAGCAUGGCCCCUGCGCAAGGAUGACACGCACAAAUCGAGAAAUGGUCCAAAUUUUUUUUCGCUCUCGGCAUUCUUUCCUUGUUCGAUCGCGAUCGGGCUGCUCUUUUGUUCUUUCUUGCUUCGUGUUCUUCUGCUCUCUCUGUCCCAAAAUCUUCAUCUUUUUCUCGUUCUUUUCCUUGUUAUUUCCUUGAUCAAGGCACAGGGAGGAAGAAAGCUGCUUCUUCGGAGUGCGGUCGUGUUCCUUGUCCUCGUUGGUCAGUCCAUGGACGCUGGUCCUCUUCCUCGCUCGCUGAUCCACACCAAUGCGGACGCCUCCGUAGAAUCAAAUCGCAUGAUGUGCUGCCCUUGGUCCGAAGCGCCGCUGCGAGGAAAAAGAUUGUCCGACAUCACCAACACGGUGAGUUCGGGGACGGCCGGAAUGAUGCGUGCCGAUGUCGAUCAAGGUAACUCGAAUGUGAUUUCUUGCCCGAUCUCCAAAGAUUGCAUCGUCCAGCACAUGAAGGUACCUUUGGAGAUUUUCUUUUUGGUCUCCCUUUUUCAUCUUUCUUUCAUUCUUCAUCUGCAUUUAGUGUUUGUUUCUAAAAAAGAUGUUUGAAAAUGCUUUUUUCUUUACAUGAUCAAUAUGAAUUCCAAGAAAAUACUGCCUUGUUGAAGCUUCUUGCAGAAAAGAAGUAUGUAAAUUGUAAAAAAAUUACUUCUUGACUAAAAAAUAGUCCGUCGAAAUUCUUGGACCAGCUAUCGAUUGAUAUGGUUUGAUCUGUUGUUCGUUUUGGCAGCAAAAUCAUAGAACUGAGUAGCACCGAGUUGCAAAAACUCCAAUUUGAAUUGCAGAAAACCAGUCAACAAAACUUGCAAAAACUCCAAUUUUUCUCUCUUCUCGAUUCAUAGAGUUUGAUCCUCGGAUUCUUCCCUAGUAUCCGAGUUAGGGUUAGGUUUAGCGUUUGAUGCUGGGUUUGCUUGCCUUAAAGUAGAAUCAAAUCGCAUGAUGUGCUGCCCUUGGACCGAAGCGCUGCUGCGAGGAAAAAGAUUGUCCGACAUCACCAACACGGUGAGUUCAGGGACGGCCGGAAUGAUGGGUGCCGAUGUCGAUCAAGGGAACUCGAAUGUGAUUUCUUGCCCGAUCUCCAAAGAUUGCAUCGUCCAGCUCAUGAAGGUACCUUUGGAGAUUUUCUUUUUGGUCUCCCUUUUUCAUCUUUCUUUCAUUCUUCAUCAGCAUUUAGUGUUUGUUUCUAAAAAAGAUGUUUGAAAAUGCUUUUUUCUUUACAUGAUCAAUAUGAAUUCCAGGAAAAUACUGCCUUGUUGAAGCUUCUUGCAGAAAAGAAGUAUGUAAAUUGUAAAAAAAAUUACUUCUUGACUAAAAAAUAGUCCGUCGAAAUUCUUGGACCAGCUAUCGAUUGAUAUGGUUUGAUCUGUUGUUCGUUUUGGCAUUAUAAUCAUAGAACUGAGUAGCACCGAGUUGCAAAAACUCCAAUUUGAAUUGCAGAAAACCAGUCAACAAAACUUGCAAAAACUCCAAUUUUUCUCUCUUCUCGAUUCAUAGAGUUUGAUCCUCGGAUUCUUCCCUAGUAUCCGAGUUAGGGUUAGGUUUAGCGUUUGAUGCUGGGUUUGCUUGCCUUAUAGUAGAAUCAAAUCGCAUGAUGUGCUGCCCUUGGUCCGAAGCGCCGCUGCGAGGAAAAAGAUUGUCCGACAUCACCAACACGGUGAGUUCGGGGACGGCCGGAAUGAUGGGUGCCGAUGUCGAUCAAGGUAACUCGAAUGUGAUUUCUUGCCCGAUCUCCAAAGAUUGCAUCGUCCAGCUCAUGAAGGUACCUUUGGAGAUUUUCUUUUUGGUCUCCCUUUUUCAUCUUUCUUUCAUUCUUCAUCUGCAUUUAGUGUUUGUUUCUAAAAAAGAUGUUUGAAAAUGCUUUUUUCUUUACAUGAUCAAUAUGAAUUCCAGGAAAAUACUGCCUUGUUGAAGCUUCUUGCAGAAAAGAAGUAUGUAAAUUGUAAAAAAAUUACUUCUUGACUAAAAAAUAGUCCGUCGAAAUUCUUGGACCAGCUAUCGAUUGAUAUGGUUUGAUCUGUUGUUCGUUUUGGCAAUAAAAUCAUAGAACUGAGUAGCACCGAGUUGCAAAAACUCCAAUUUGAAUUGCAGAAAACCAGUCGACAAAACUUGCAAAAACUCCAAUUUUUCUCUCUUCUCGAUUCAUAGAGUUUGAUCCUCGGAUUCUUCCCUAGUAUUCGAGUUAGGGUUAGGUUUAGCGUUUGAUGCUGGGUUUGCUUGCCUUAUAGUAGAAUCAAAUCGCAUGAUGUGCUGCCCUUGGUCCGAAGCGCUGCUGCGAGGAAAAAGAUUGUCCGACAUCACCAACACGGUGAGUUCAGGGACGGCCGGAAUGAUGGGUGCCGAUGUCGAUCAAGGUAACUCGAAUGUGAUUUCUUGCCCGAUCUCCAAAGAUUGCAUCGUCCAGCUCAUGAAGGUACCUUUGGAGAUUUUCUUUUUGGUCUCCCUUUUUCAUCUUUCUUUCAUUCUUCAUCAGCAUUUAGUGUUUGUUUCUAAAAAAGAUGUUUGAAAAUGCUUUUUUCUUUACAUGAUCAAUAUGAAUUCCAGGAAAAUACUGCCUUGUUGAAGCUUCUUGCAGAAAAGAAGUAUGUAAAUUGUAAAAAAAAUUACUUCUUGACUAAAAAAUAGUCCGUCGAAAUUCUUGGACCAGCUAUCGAUUGAUAUGGUUUGAUCUGUUGUUCGUUUUGGCAUUAUAAUCAUAGAACUGAGUAGCACCGAGUUGCAAAAACUCCAAUUUGAAUUGCAGAAAACCAGUCAACAAAACUUGCAAAAACUCCAAUUUUUCUCUCUUCUCGAUUCAUAGAGUUUGAUCCUCGGAUUCUUCCCUAGUAUCCGAGUUAGGGUUAGGUUUAGCGUUUGAUGCUGGGUUUGCUUGCCUUAUAGUAGAAUCAAAUCGCAUGAUGUGCUGCCCUUGGUCCGAAGCGCCGCUGCGAGGAAAAAGAUUGUCCGACAUCACCAACACGGUGAGUUCGGGGACGGCCGGAAUGAUGGGUGCCGAUGUCGAUCAAGGUAACUCGAAUGUGAUUUCUUGCCCGAUCUCCAAAGAUUGCAUCGUCCAGCUCAAGAAGGAAAAUACUGCCUUGUUGAAGCUUCUUGCAGAAAAGAAGUAUGUAAAUUGUAGGAGGCACCAGUGAUGCAGAGGUGACCAAGAAGAAGGAAAUAAUUUGGGCCCAACAUGAAGUGAUCUUGAGUUGGAUCCUUACAGCCUGCUCAAGAGAAAGUUGCAAGAGAUCCUUGAAUUCUUCAGGCCAUUAGCACUACUUGAUGGUUCCUUCAGAGAGACACCACCAAUAUCUGAAAGGGAUCUUCCAUUGAGAAAUAUAUACAGACAAACACACAAAUGUAUACAUUAAUAUUUGAAAAAAAAAACAGAUACAGCGAUGGAGAAGAAUGGUUCUGCAAUCUGCAAGCAACUUUCUCAAAAGCAAACCAAAAUUAGAACUUAUGAUGAGCUGAGUUGUUUCAAUCUAUCAAGGGAGAAUCAGAUUGUGGCCCAAUUCUAAAAGGCAAGACAAAUGGUGGUGUUUUAUGCCCCAACAAUGGCGGUCGUCAUUAGAUCGAGUGUGAUGCUGAAUGGUUGAAAUGUUGGAGUCAUCGAACAGCACUACACACCCAUGCUAACUAGAAGUUCUUGUCACCAGCAGAUCCAGGUACUAACUAUGAACUAAUUGAGGUGGAGAGUGUGCAUCUUAGGAGUUAGCACAUGCAUGGCUAUGAUACCAUGAGACUUCAUUCGAAAGCCAUGCCUAAAUCCUUCAUAAUCAAGAUCAUAUCCUGUAAUUGUCAGUCCAUUGAAGUGUUCCUUCAGCAACUGUGAUUACUUCUGAGGCUGGCAAAUUCCACUGGAUCGAACAGUUUUCACUGUGACAAAAGCAGAUCAAGGCUUGAAGAUUGCAUCUCAAGAAAUCUUUUUCUUUUCAUAGCUUUAAAGGUCUUAAUCCUAAAGACUGGUCUUCAAGCAGCAAUGUGAUUGAUUCUCUAUGUUUGUUGGAAGGCUUGCAUCUCAGAAAAAGACUGAAAGAGGCUGCCUCCUUUUAUUCCUUGAUCUCAUUAAAGGCGCAUUAUACUUGCUGCAUUGGUUUUCCUUCA